GACGAACGCUGGCGGCGUGCUUAACACAUGCAAGUCGAACGGAAAGGCCCUGCUUUUGUGGGGUGCUCGAGUGGCGAACGGGUGAGUAACACGUGAGUAACCUGCCCUUGACUUUGGGAUAACUUCAGGAAACUGGGGCUAAUACCGGAUAGGAGCUCCUGCUGCAUGGUGGGGGUUGGAAAGUUUCGGCGGUUGGGGAUGGACUCGCGGCUUAUCAGCUUGUUGGUGGGGUAGUGGCUUACCAAGGCUUUGACGGGUAGCCGGCCUGAGAGGGUGACCGGCCACAUUGGGACUGAGAUACGGCCCAGACGCCUACGGGAGGCAGCAGUGGGGAAUAUUGCACGAUGGGCGGAAGCCUGAUGCAGCAACGCCGCGUGCGGGAUGACGGCCUUCGGGUUGUAAACCGCUUUCGCCUGUGACGAAGCGUGAGUGACGGUAAUGGGUAAAGAAGCACCGGCUAACUACGU
rnacentral:rRNA from 1 species